UGCCAGCCGCCGCGGUAAUACGGAGGGUGCAAGCGUUAUCCGGAAUCAUUGGGUUUAAAGGGUGCGCAGGCGGUUUAUUAAGUCAGUGGUGAAAUUCCAGGGCUCAACCCUGGAACGCCGGCCGAUACUGCUGUGGCUAGAGUACGGUAGAGGAGCGCGGAAUUCCUGGUGUAGCGGUGAAAUGCGCAGAUAUCAGGAGGAACACCGAUGGCGAAGGCAGCGCUCUGGGCCGAAACUGACGCUGAGGGGCGAAAGCAAGGGGAGCAAACAGGAUUAGAUA
rnacentral:rRNA from 1 species